rnacentral:lncRNA from 1 species
UUGCGACAGUGAACUGAAGAAGUCCUCUUUUCUUUUGAACUCACCAAGGCAAGGCACGGAACACAAAUGACCCUUUCCUUGAAGUGGCAUGGUGGCAACUCAUCUUCCUGAAGCAGUGGCCGUCCUCAUGCUCGGAUGAGUGACCAGACACACUCACAGGACCACUGUAUCCCUGCCGUGCCCUUCGGAACUGAUCAGAACAGAGGAUGCAACUAAGCCCUGGCUGACAGGAGUUCUCCAUUAUCAAGUAGAAUCAGGGGUUCAAAUAGAAACCAGCAGGUUGAAUGUGAUGCUGGCCCACAGGAACAGGGAGCAUUCAAAGAUGCUGGAGCAAGUCUGAGAGCCUCUGUAUCUCUUGCCAUGUUCCAAGCCCUAGAGAUACAGUGGUGGACAAGACAGGCACACUAUCCUGUUUCCAUGUGGUCAACAUUUCCUUACAAUCUGACUGAGGAGAAAAACAGACUGGCCAAUAAAUAAAAUGUACACAGAGCUAUGAGAGUGAGCAGGGGGAGUAGGACGGGAAUGUGCAUAAUUUCAGUGUGAGCCUGAAAAGGGCUCUCCACAAUGGUGCAGGGAUCCCAGGGAGAGAACUGUGAAGCUCUGAGGUAGGGGGAGUGGAGAAACGACCCAGAAUGGUGUUGGGGUGCUCAGCGUUGGAAGCUGGUGUGUGUGUGUGUGUGUGUGCGCGUGCGCGCGUGCGCGCGCGCGUGUUUUCUGAUGCUCUUAGGCAACCCCCAAAGGGGAUGUGCCCCACAGGUUGAGAACUGCUGCUCUAGAGACCCCUGACUAAUACAGCCCAGCAUGCCUGUGUUUAUGGAACCAGCCAGUCUUUGAUCAGUUGAAUACAAGUAUGCAAAUCCAGUGGGAAAGGGAACCAAUCAGAGAACAGAUGUCAAACAUGGACACUAAAGAAGCAAAAUGACUAUGUGUUUAUGUCUCAAGCCUGUGAUCCAAGUAGUUAGACAUUGCUGGAGCUGGAGGAGGCCUGUGGAUGGAUUUCUUCAGACAAGGGAGGAGCCAAGAGCAGACACUGAACACUGGAGAGAGUAGAUGAGGAGGCCUGGCAGAGCCUCUGUGCGCCGAGAUACAUGGUGGAAGCCGUAGGCACCUCUUCUUAUGGCCCCUACUUCUAGAAAACGAGCAGAAAGCCCACAA